rnacentral:rRNA from 1 species
UCGCGGCGGUGCGCGCAGAAGGGUCUGGGCUCGAGCCUGCCUGGAGCCGCCGCCGGUGCAGAUCUUGGUGGUAGUAGCAAAUACUCCAGCGAGGCCCUGGAGGACUGACGUGGAGAAGGGUUUCGUGUGAACAGCCGUUGCACACGAGUCAGUCGACCCUAAGCCCUAGGAGAAAUCCGAUGUAAACGGCGUUGGGAAAAACACUGAACUCGAAUGAGACAGAGACCCAUUGAUCGGGCGAAAGGGAAUCCGGUUCCUAUUCCGGAACCCGGCAGCGGAACCGUUGUUUGUCGGGCCCUCGCAAGGGGUUCGUCAGGGCAACCUAAAAGGGCCCGGAGACGCCGUCGGGGGCCCCGGAAAGAGUUUUCUUUUCUGCAUGA